rnacentral:rRNA from 1 species
AUACGGAGGGUCCAAGCGUUAUCCGGAAUCAUUGGGUUUAAAGGGUCCGUAGGCGGGCAAUUAAGUCAGAGGUGAAAUCCCACAGCUCAACUGUGGAACUGCCUUUGAUACUGGUUGUCUUGAAUUAUAGUGAAGUAGAUAGAAUAUGUAGUGUAGCGGUGAAAUGCUUAGAUAUUACAUAGAAUACCGAUUGCGAAGGCAGUCUACUAACUGUAUAUUGACGCUGAUGGACGAAAGCGUGGGGAGCGAACAGGAUUAGAAACCCCUGUAGUCC